CUACGGGAGGCUGCAGGCGCGGAACCUUUACAAUGCACGCAAGUGUGAUAAGGGAACCCUCAGUGCUCAUGUUUUACAUGGGCUUUUGCCAAGAGUAAAUAUCUUGGCGAAUAAGUGGUGGGUAAGACUGGUGCCAGCCGCCGCGGUAACACCAGCGCCACGAGUGACAACCACGUGUUAUUGGGCCUAAAGCGUCCGUAGUCGGUUUGGUAAAUCUCUUGUGAAAUCGUCAGGCUUAACCUGACGGCGCGCUCGAGACACUACUUUACUUGAGACCGGGAGGAGUGAGAGGUAUUCCUGAGGGAGCGGUAAAAUGUGAUAAUCUCAGGAGGAUCACCUAUGGCGAAGGCAUCUCACCAGAACGGAUCUGACGAUCAGGGACGAAGGCUAGGGGAGCGAUCCGGAUUAGAUACCCCAGUAGUC
rnacentral:rRNA from 1 species